AGACAGCAGUAGCCGCGGUAAUACGAAGGGUGCAAGCGUUACUCGGAAUUACUGGGCGUAAAGCGUGCGUAGGCGGACUUUUAAGUCAGGGGUGAAAUCCCGGGGCUCAACCCCGGAACUGCCUUUGAUACUGGAAGUCUUGAGUAUGGUAGAGGUGAGUGGAAUUCCGAGUGUAGAGGUGAAAUUCGUAGAUAUUCGGAGGAACACCAGUGGCGAAGGCGGCUCACUGGACCAUUACUGACGCUGAGGUGCGAAAGCGUGGGGAGCAAACAAGAUUAGAUACCCCAGUAGUCCCUGUCUCUUAUAC
rnacentral:rRNA from 1 species